GAGAAGUUACAAAGUUGUGGAGAAGUCCAGCAAAUGACUGGACAAGGGUUGAAGAAGGUACCCCUGACUCCUGUUGGUUCAGACAUUUAGAGGACGGAAGAAGUGUUGUCAGGAAGAUGGCGGCCCAGGAGAACCCCAGCCACCUCUCUGCACUAAAACCUGAGCAGCUGAUACUCAGGCCCUGGGGCUCCUUCUCUGCUGAGGGAUCUCAGAGGAGCCACAGGGCCACACAGACCCAGCUGGGUCUGCAGGCCACACAGCCCAUUCCGACCACGCAUCAGGCAACCCUGUGAUCCAGGAAAUUCUCUGGAGAAGCGGUGUUCUCCACGCGCCUGGCCUCUUGACACAAGCCCCUGGCUUCUUGAGUGAACACGAGGACACCGGGAGGACGCCCUGAGGCAGUGUUCAACAUGUCUGACAAGAUCUCAGAAGCACAGGCUCAAGCCAAGUUCACUGAGCAGUGAGGCUGCUGGGCCUACCUGCUUCCUGCUGUCGUCUGAGCAGGUGAGGGCCCUGCAGCCAUCAGCAGUGACCUUGGCCCAACCUCUGCCUGUCCUGGGGUCCCUUGUCCCACAACUGCUCAGUGGACAUCAGCUGCAGGGGCCUUCCAUGCCCUGAAGCCUGGUGCCAUGCUGAGACUGAGAGUUCUAAGCUAUGGAGCUUGCAGAAGUGAAUUUCAAGGGGACACUUGUCACUGAGCCCCGGCAGUCAUGUGUCAUCGGCCGCGUCACCAUGUGUUGAGUGUAUUGAGUGUGCUAUGGGGUUUGGUUACUUGCUUUUGUUUGAAACCUGACAAAUCCACAUGCCCUGAGCUAGCUAGCAGCCUCUACUGCUCUCCCCCCUGGUGUCUCACUAGCCUUCCAGAGAUUCCCUGGCCCUUGCCUGAGACCAAGAGAUGCCUGCCUCGUGCAGAGGACUCUGUUCAGCUGUGACAGGCUUCCUGGCCUCACCUGCUCGGACCAGGGACCAACAGGAAGAAGGCAGACUCAGCCCCGACCUUACACACAGCCUCGGAUGGCUGCCCAGCAGAGGAGGAAGUGUAACAUGUUAGAAGACUGAGAAGGAGAUGAAGCAGCAGGUACCUCAGCUGGGAUGGAGGAGCUUGCCUCCUUCCUUCACCGACCAGCACUGGGGGAGACAGAGCCAGUAGGUGGCGAGCGGGGAAGGCCUGAGGCCUGGCCCUUGGGUUCCCAGCACCCAGCGUGCUUGCAGGGACCGAUCGCUCUGCUGAGUAAAUCCUCAGUGUCUUUGUUACCAGCUCACUGAAGUGUGCAUCAGGACCACUGCCGACUCUUGCGGAGAAAAGACCUGCAGAAGGCCAAGGCACUCAGGCACGGCAGCCUUCCCUGCAGGGACACCAGGUGCCCAGUGAGUCUGGUUCUCACAGAGGGCUGGCCAGCAGCCCAACAGAAACAAGACAGGUGCUUCCAGAAGGCACUCCCUCAGCUCUGGUAGGAAAAGAAACUGGGACAAACUUCUUUGCUGGAGUGCAGGAACUCAAUCGGCUUCAGAGAAGGCCUUGCUUGUUGAAGUGUGUGGCUGGGUGAGAGUCUAGCUCAUUGGGUGACAUGUAGCAGAGUUCUUUCUAGGGCUAAAGCAGAGGUGAGAGGAGAGACUAACUUCAGCAAACACUCAUCCCCUGAGCCUCUCCUACACUAAGCAGAAGCAUAGACAGCCUCUUCCACCUUAGCCAGAAGGCUAGCUUCACGUAAAUUCAGAAAAUACCCACGAGUCCAACGGAGACUGGGCCAUGUAGAUCACAGCGAGCAGGGAAUGUUGUGCUCAGCUGAGUGGGGAGAAAUAACAUCUGUUCCGGUGCACCCUGGCACACACAUGCACACCUGCCUGUAAUACAUAUGUGCACACAUGUGAUACGCACGAGUGAGCAUGCUCACAUGACACACGCAUACUUUCCCCAUAGUCUGAGCCAGCAUGUCCUCCCACCCACCCCGCCUGGGGAGGCCAUCCUUCCGCUCUAGCUUGUAACCUUCUCACAGUCCUUUACCACCAGCGCUGUUUCUUUUAGCUGACAGCUUGGUAAGCUUGCUUUCCAAUCAGGAUACUUUCCUUGUGUGCGCUUAAAAUGAGUCUCUGACUGAAACUGUAGGGCCCCACACAACAGGAAGCCACUCGCUCCUCUCAACCCCGAUGGAAUGGGAGGUCAGAGAGAAUGAUCGCAGAAGGAGCCAUCUGCAAACUUCAGAAGGAAAGGGUGAAAGUAGAGAUGAAGGGGUCGAAUGUGGACCACGACACCUGCCUCGCAUUCGACACUUCUGGUUUGACUUUGCCGUGGCCCUAAGAUGAGCGGCUGCAGUCAGCCGAUCUCCACUGCCUGGAACUCCUCUUUUCUCUGUUGCUUGGAAAGAAAACAGGAAACGACGGUGGGCCCUGCUUGGGGAUGAGGUGGGGGCGGAAGUUUGCUGUGGACGAGUACUGACUCUCAGCCAGGUCAGCCACUGUCUAGGUGCCUUGCUGGAUGCUGCUUUACAAAGUGAUUGUUACUUAUGUGCAGGCUGCUUUGCCUGUGUGCAUGCUAUGCCUUUGCCUGGCACCCACAGAAGCCAGAAGAGGGCACUGGAUCCCCUGGAAGUGGAGUUCAAGAUGGCUGCAGGCCACCAUGUGGGCGCUGGGAAUUAAUACCAUAUUCUCCAGAAGAGCAGCCAAUGCUCUCAACCCCUGUGCUGGGUUUUCUGUAAUACACGCGGCAUGUAUGCAUAUGGGUAGCUGGCACUUACUUCAAUAAUUAUUACCCACCAGCCACUUCAUGAACAAUUUAUAAGUGAUUUCCUUUAAUCAUUAUGAAACUUGGAGGCACAGGUUGCAGAUCUGGCAACAAUUAUGACAAAACCUGUUCAUAAGCACUUUCUACACAUUUUUUUGGUUUGUUUUUUUGGGGGGAUUUUGGUGUUUUUUCGAGACAAGGUUUCUCUGUAUAGCCCUGGCUGUCCUGGAACUCACUCUGUAGACCAGGCUGGCCUCGAACUCAGAAAUCCGCCUGCCUCUGCCUCCCAGAGUGCUGGGAUUACAGGCGUGCACCACCACCGCCCGGCUGUUCUAAACAUUUAUAUAUUUGAGCUCUGUCUAUGCAAGCUUGGAAGGUGCACAUUAUUAAACCCAUUUCCUAGGUGAGGAAACUAAGGCUUACAGGAUGCAAGGAUGUCAGUCAAAAACGCUCAGCUAGUAAUGGUAAGACCUCUCCUCUGUGCCUCACUGCCUCAGGGCCUGGGCAGGGCCAGGCCACAGCCCUCUGAGACAGCAUAGCUACCUCUAAUUGGCCAGAGGAUCGAGUGUGGCAUAGGUGGUGGGAGAAGGA